UACGAAGGCUCCAAGCGUUAUCCGGAUUUAUUGGGCGUAAAGCGUGCGCAGAUGGUUUUGUGCGUCUUGUGUUAAAUGUCUCCGCUUAACGGGGUCGCUGCACAGGAUACGGCAAAACUAGAGGGUGCGAGAGGUGACUAGAACUUAUGGUGUAGGGGUGAAAUCCGUUGAUAUCAUAGGGAAUACCAAAGGCGAAGGCAUGUCACUGGCGCAUUCCUGACAUUCAGGCACGAAAGCGUGGGGCGCGAAUGGG
rnacentral:rRNA from 1 species